rnacentral:misc_RNA from 1 species
GUUGCCCACUUUUGAAAGUUACUAGAUGUGACUCUCUCUUUAUAAAGUAGGUAUUUGCUUGUAUUAAGUCGUAUGCCCUAGAUAUGUUGCUAGAAUUCAGGAUGUUUUUAUGAAGUGGCUGCAUUGCAGUAAACAGUAGCCUUUAGGUUUCCCUUGACAUGACUGAAAUAUGCUUGCAUCCAUCAUUGUAUGGGAUUCUCUUAUGCUUUUUAUUCUAUUUAUUUUUUUUUGGUUUCAG